AUCGCUUCUCAGCCUUUUGGCUAAGAUCAAGUGUAG
rnacentral:snRNA from 1 species